rnacentral:rRNA from 1 species
AACGAACGCUGGCGGCAGGCUUAACACAUGCAAGUCGAACGGUUGUAGCAAUACAGCAGUGGCAGACGGGUGAGUAACACGUGGGAACCUUCCUAGGGGUACGGAACAACUCAGGGAAACUUGAGCUAAUACCGUAUACGUCCGUGAGGAGAAAGAUUUAUCGCCCUUAGACGGGCCCGCGUCGGAUUAGCUAGUUGGUGGGGUAACGGCCUACCAAGGCGACGAUCCGUAGCUGAUCUUAGAGGAUGAUCAGCCACACUGGGACUGAGACACGGCCCAGACUCCUACGGGAGGCAGCAGUGGGGAAUCUUGGACAAUGGGCGCAAGCCUGAUCCAGCCAUGCCGCGUGAGUGAAGAAGGUCUUCGGAUUGUAAAGCUCUUUUGCCAGGGACGAUAAUGACGGUACCUGGAGAAUAAGCCCCGGCAAACUCCGUGCCAGCCGCCGCAGUAA